GUGGCUUCGGCAGCACAAAUACUAAAAUCGGAAUGACACAGAGAUGAUAAGUAUGGUCCCUGCGCAAGGAGACACGCAAAUUUGUGAGGUGCUCCAUAUUUUA